rnacentral:rRNA from 1 species
ACGGAAGGCAGCAGUGGGGGAUAUUGCACAAUGGGCGAAAGCCUGAUGCAGCAACGCCGCGUGAGGGAAGACGGUUUUCGGAUUGUAAACCUCUGUCUUUGGUGAAGAAGAAAGUGACGGUAGCCAAGGAGGAAGCCACGGCUAACUACGUGCCAGCAGCCGCGGUAAUACGUAGGUGGCAAGCGUUGUCCGGAAUUACUGGGUGUAAAGGGAGCGCAGGCGGGACUGCAAGUUGGAUGUGAAAUACCGCAGCUUAACUGCGGAGCUGCAUCCAAAGCUGUAGUUCUUGAGUGGAGUAGAGGUAGGCGGAAUUCCGAGUGUAGCGGUGAAAUGCGUAGAUAUUCGGAGGGACACCAGUGGCGAAGGCGGCUUGCUGGGCUCUAACUGACGCUGAGGCUCGAAAGUGUGGGGAGCAAACAGGAUUAGAUACCCUGGUA